GUUUUUUUGCUGGUAUUUUGUGCUCAUUCCCUGUGUUUUUUAUGAACUUUUUGUUUGAUGCAUAUUGAAAGUGAAGAUUGAAAUACUCUCACAUUUCAGCAAAUUGUUUAUUGUUUUAGAAAACAAUACACAUGGAGAGAAAGGAAAUAAAACUGAUACCUCAUCCCAUUUAGGUCAUUUAUUGGUUGUCCUAUUUACUUUUGAAAUGAAAUUUGGCUCAUAUCUAGGAUUCUUCUUAUAUCUCUAUUGACUUUAGUGUGUG
rnacentral:misc_RNA from 1 species